GGGUUGUGAGGUUAAGCGACUAAGCGUACACGGUGGAUGCCCUGGCAGUCAGAGGCGAUGAAGGGCGUGCUAAUCUGCGAUAAGCGCCGGUAAGGUGAUAUGAACCGUUAUAACCGGCGAUACCCGAAUGGGGAAACCCAGUGUGAUUCGUCACACUAUCAUUACGUGAAUACAUAGCGUAAUGAAGCGAACCGGGGGAACUGAAACAUCUAAGUACCCCGAGGAAAAGAAAUCAACCGAGAUUCCCCCAGUAGCGGCGAGCGAACGGGGAGGAGCCCAGAGCCUGAAUCAGCAUGUGUGUUAGUGGAAGCGUCUGGAAAGGCGCGCGAUACAGGGUGACAGCCCCGUACACAAAAGCGCAUGUGUUGUGAGCUCGAUGAGUAGGGCGGGACACGUGGUAUCCUGUCUGAAUAUGGGGGGACCAUCCUCCAAGGCUAAAUACUCCUGACUGACCGAUAGUGAACCAGUACCGUGAGGGAAAGGCGAAAAGAACCCCGGCGAGGGGAGUGAAAAAGAACCUGAAACCGUGUACGUACAAGCAGUGGGAGCACCCUUUGGGGUGUGACUGCGUACCUUUUGUAUAAUGGGUCAGCGACUUAUAUUCUGUAGCAAGGUUAACCGAAUAGGGGAGCCGGAGGGAAACCGAGUCUUAAUUGGGCGUUAAGUUGCAGGGUAUAGACCCGAAACCCGGUGAUCUAGCCAUGGGCAGGUUGAAGGUUGGGUAACACUAACUGGAGGACCGAACCGACUAAUGUUGAAAAAUUAGCGGAUGACCUGUGGCUGGGGGUGAAAGGCCAAUCAAACCGGGAGAUAGCUGGUUCUCCCCGAAAGCUAUUUAGGUAGCGCCUCGUGAACUCAUCUCCGGGGGUAGAGCACUGUUUCGGCUAGGGGGCCAUCCCGGCUUACCAACCCGAUGCAAACUGCGAAUACCGGAGAAUGUUAUCACGGGAGACACACGGCGGGUGCUAACGUCCGUCGUGAAGAGGGAAACAACCCAGACCGCCAGCUAAGGUCCCAAAGUCAUAGUUAAGUGGGAAACGAUGUGGGAAGGCCCAGACAGCCAGGAUGUUGGCUUAGAAGCAGCCAUCAUUUAAAGAAAGCGUAAUAGCUCACUGGUCGAGUCGGCCUGCGCGGAAGAUGUAACGGGGCUAAACCAUGCACCGAAGCUGCGGCAGCGACACUAUGUGU
rnacentral:rRNA from 1 species